UUAUAACAAGGUAGGAUCAAAUAUGGUAACAAGUGAUUCAACUCUGAAGCAAAUCAUGAACUUAAAACCGGCGGUUAUAUACGAACAACCGCCAGACAAGUGGACAAAAGAAAGAAAUAUAAAACUGAAAUCAGUUUCGUUAUCGUUGUCUUCCACACUAAACUUCUACAGGACAUAAAAAGCGUUACGAAUGGUUUCAAAAAGACGACUUACUAAUUCUGCUAAAAGACUUCGGUACACGAAGGAAGGCGCAAAGACUUUUGUGAAAAACGCUACCAUCAUCGGAGCAGAUAUUAAAAAAUGCGGUAAAAAUCUCUUUGUUACUUUUUUCAGGAACCUUCAAAGCAACUGUAAAAUUAACAUCCUCACCAGGAUGAACGGAAGAAGUGAUAGGAAACGAAUAUGGAUUGUCUCCUGGAAAAAGUUUGUCUCCACCAUUAAACUUGACAUACAACGGAGAAGGCCACGAUUGACAAGAAGUAUUCCUUAUAUGCCAUAUUUUAUAAAACGGGCAGCCAGGGCUUAAUUCUAAGGGGAGAAUGGAGUCCUCAACUAACUUGAAGUCGAAAUUAAGAACCUUAGGUUUUUCAGGUUUAGAUAAAUGUAAAGGUGAAGCAGAUAUUUCGCGAGUUAAACGGAGCAUUGAAUGAUGAUCAUGAUGCACAUGAGAUACACAUGAGGAGCAAAGAUCAUAGUCUUCACAAACCAGACAAUGAAAUCUUGGUCCAACUAUUGGAUGAGCAAGACAGUUGUCACAUUGAACCGAUCGAUGUACUGUUGAGGCAGACUCAAACAAUUCGGCUGAUAGGAACUGAGGGAACAAAUGAAAUGAAGGAAGACCAUGAGGAUAAGCUUUAGUAAUUCGAACGAAAGCAUGCGUGUUUGAAUGACUAUUGUCGGUAAGGCAAGACUCACAAAUGUCGUAGUCAUCACAAACACUACACUUGUAACGCACAUUAUGUAUAGGUUGCUCACAAUGGUCACAAAUGGCGUACAUAAAAUUAGAUUGGGGAGAAACUGACAUAGAAUUUACGCUGCAGGUUAAGGAAGCAACUGAAGGGAUUGAAGAGCGAACAAGUACGAAAUGGGGUUUUGGGCAAGGAUGGAGGAAUGCCUGUUUCGCAUAGCAGUCUCUACAAACAUCGAAAUCGAAACACUUUGUGCAAUGAAAUGAGUCAUUCCGAAUUAUCUUGAGGCAAGUGUUACAAGCAACAGAAGAAGACCUUAAAGUAGGCGAAUUAUUAUUGUGCUCAAAAAUGUUUGACUUUAAAUUAUUCUCCUUAGUGAAGUGGAUAUUAGCGACUGAGGAAUGAAAAGGAGGGAAGGAAGGAACACUAUGGUUGCAAAGAAUCCCACAAUCAGAAGAGGGACAUGUACGAUUGCAAAGCAUUUCGGGAUCAAAAACGUGAAUAAAAUAAAAUAAAAUU